CCUGUCAUAAUGCAGGUGGGAGGAAUACAUUUGGAAAGAUGCAGUUGAUGCAAUUUAGUGCAGCAAAGCGGACUGAAAUUCAACACGCUCUCAUGUGGCUGUGCCUUUAACUCAAGACCAGUGGUGAGAUCUCUUUACCUGGUUUUGCUCUUGCCCGGAGAAUCCUAACUAAACACACUUCCUCGUGCCAUUCAAACCAUGUGACAGGAUGACAUUUCAACUCUGCUGGCCCCACCUGUAUUUUUCGAGAGGGACCCUGUAAGAGUGUCUUCUCAUUCCACACUUUGAGUUCAGCUUCACUUCAGAGUCCUCCCCCCCCCCCC